rnacentral:tRNA from 1 species
GGAGAGAUGGCAGAGUGGUCGAUUGCGUCUGAUUUGAAAUCAGAUGAACUUAAAAAAAAGUUCCGUGAGUUCGAAUCUCACUCUCUCCU